GACGAACGCUGGCGGCGUGCUUAACACAUGCAAGUGGUGCGACGAACCAGGCUUCGGCCUGGGGCGAAGCCGCGAACGGGUGAGUAACACGUGGGCAAUCUGCCCCUUUGAUCGGGACAACCCGGGGAAACCCGGGCUAAUACCGAAUGAGGUGGCGACUCAUGAGAGUCGUCACGAAAGGAAGCUUCGGCCUCCGACAAGGGAUGACCCCGCGGCCCAUUAGCUUGGUGGUGGGGUAAUGGCCUACCAAGGCAACGAUGGGUAGCUGGUCUGAGAGGACGAUCAGCCACACUGGGACUGAGACACGGCCCAGACUCCUACGGGAGGCUGCAGUGGGGAAUCUUGCGCAAUGAGCGACAGCUUGACGCAGCAACGCCGCGUGAGGGAAGAAGGCUUUCGGGUCGUAAACCUCUUUCAGUUAGGACGAAGCUUUAUUGGUUAAUAACCAAUUGGAGUGACGGUACUUUCAGAAGAAGCCCCGGCUAACUACGUGCCAGCCGCCGCAGUAA
rnacentral:rRNA from 1 species